CUAUGACCUUGGGGACUCCGUCAGCCAACCCUGGUCUUGGUUUUUCCCUCCGGGGGUUUUCAGGAGAUGGCCGACAUGCUUGCUAUGUGUGGUGCCAGCUGGUAAACAAUCUUAUUAUUAAAGUGAGUUGGGUGUCUGGAGACAGCCUCAGAACCAAGCCCUAAGCCUUCUCAGCUGAGUGAGUUAGUCCCAGCGGGUGCGGAUGAGGUGCUUCGAGGAGUCCUGUUAACUGUUUCAGCACUGCACGAACCUGCUGGCCAGAGAGCCACGGAAUGCAGGACCGACUCGUAGCUGAUUGGAUGAGAUUCCAGCCCAGGGCCAGAUGCAGACCUCCAGAGAGCCCAGCGACAGAAGAGGCUAUAAUGUCUCCCCGACCACCCGAAUCAAAAUAGAAACAGGACCAAUUCAUAACACACCUCCAAGGAAGUCCAGCGAAGUUCUCAUCCCCCCACUUUCAUGAUGACUUCUCUGAUGUGUGCUUGAAAUUUCAACUACCAGAUUUUUUGGGAAAGAUUUCUAAUGCCCCUGCUUCACUAAUGCUUAGGAAUGUGCUUAGUUUGCCUUUAGGUAAACAGCCAGCUCCACUCCCCCAGCCC
rnacentral:lncRNA from 1 species